rnacentral:rRNA from 1 species
CACGUAGGGCGCAAGCGUUGUCCGGAAUUAUUGGGCGUAAAGAGCUCGUAGGCGGUCUGUUGCGUCCGCUGUGAAAACCCGGGGCUCAACCCCGGGCCUGCAUUCGAUACGGGCAGACUAGAGUUCGGUAGGGGAGAUCGGAAUUCCUGGUGUAGCGGUGAAAUGCGCAGAUAUCAGGAGGAACACCGGUGGCGAAGGCGGAUCUCUGGGCCGAUACUGACGCUGAGGAGCGAAAGCGUGGGGAGCGAACAGG